rnacentral:rRNA from 1 species
GUUGGGGAUAACUCCGGGAAACCGGGGCUAAUACCGAAUGAUAGAGUGUGGCGCAUGCCACGCUUUUGAAAGAUGGUUUCGGCUAUCGCUUACAGAUGGGCCCGCGGUGCAUUAGCUAGUUGGUAGGGUAAUGGCCUACCAAGGCAACGAUGCAUAGCCGACCUGAGAGGGUGAUCGGCCACACUGGGACUGAGACACGGCCCAGACUCCUACGGGAGGCAGCAGUAGGGAAUCUUCCGCAAUGGACGAAAGUCUGACGGAGCAACGCCGCGUGUAUGAAGAAGGUUUUCGGAUCGUAAAGUACUGUUGUUAGAGAAGAACAAGGAUAAGAGUAACUGCUUGUCCCUUGACGGUAUCUAACCAGAAAGCCACGGCUAACUACGUGCCAGCAGCCGCGGUAAUACGUAGGUGGCAAGCGUUGUCCGGAUUUAUUGGGCGUAAAGCGCGCGCAGGCGGUCUUUUAAGUCUGAUGUGAAAGCCCCCGGCUUAACCGGGGAGGGUCAUUGGAAACUGGAAGACUGGAGUGCAGAAGAGGAGAGUGGAAUUCCACGUGUAGCGGUGAAAUGCGUAGAUAUGUGGAGGAACACCAGUGGCGAAGGCGACUCUCUGGUCUGUAACUGACGCUGAGGCGCGAAAGCGUGGGGAGCAAACAGGAUU